GAUGAACGCUGGCGGCGUGCCUAAUACAUGCAAGUCGAGCGAACAGACGAGGAGCUUGCUCCUCUGACGUUAGCGGCGGAAGGGUGAGUAACACGUGGAUAACCUACCUAUAAGACUGGGAGAACUUCGGGAAACCGGAGCUAAUACCGGAUAAUAUAUUGAACCGCAUGGUUCAAUAGUGAAAGACGGUUUUGCUGGCAAUUAUAGAUGGAAACGCGCCGCAUUAGACAGUUGGUAAGGUAACGGCUUACCAAGGCAACGAUGCGUAGCCGACCUGAGAGGGUGAGCGGCCACACUGGAACUGAGACACGGUCCGAACUCCUACGGGAGGCAGCAGUAGGGAAUCUUCCGCAAUGGGCGAAAGCCUGACGGAGCAACGCCGCGUGAGUGAUGAAGGUCUUCGGAUCGUAAAACUCUGUUAUUAGGGAAGAACAAAUGUGUAAGUAACUAUGCACGUCUUGACGGUACCUAAUCAGAAAGCCACGGCUAACUACGUG
rnacentral:rRNA from 1 species